rnacentral:rRNA from 1 species
GACGAACGCUGGCGGCGUGCUUAACACAUGCAAGUCGAACGGAAAGGCCCUGCUUGCCGGGUACUCGAGUGGCGAACGGGUGAGUAACACGUGGGUGAUCUGCCCUGCACUUCGGGAUAAGCCUGGGAAACUGGGUCUAAUACCGGAUAGGAGCCAUUUUUAGUGUGAUGGUUGGAAAGUUUUUUCGGUGUAGGAUGAGCUCGCGGCCUAUCAGCUUGUUGGUGGGGUAAUGGCCUACCAAGGCGGCGACGGGUAGCCGGCCUGAGAGGGUGGACGGCCACAUUGGGACUGAGAUACGGCCCAGACUCCUACGGGAGGCAGCAGGGGGGAAGAUUGCACAAGGGGCGCAAGCCGGAUGCAGCGACGCCGCGUGGGGGAUGACGGCCUUCGGGUUGUAAACUCCUUUCGCUAGGGACGAAGCUUUUUGUGACGGUACCUAGAUAAGAAGCACCGGCUAACUACGUG